rnacentral:rRNA from 1 species
AUUGAACGCUGGCGGCAGGCCUAACACAUGCAAGUCGAGCGAGCGGCGGACGGGUGAGUAAUGUCUGGGAAACUGCCUGAUGGAGGGGGAUAACUACUGGAAACGGUAGCUAAUACCGCAUACCAUCGGAUGAGCCCAGAGGGGAUUAGCUAGUGGGUGGGGUAACGGCUCACCUAGGCGACGACCCCUAGCUGGUCUGAGAGGAUGACCAGCGACCCUGGAACUGAGCCAUGGUCCAGACUCCUACGGGAGGCAGCGGUGGGGAAUAUUGCACAAUGGUGGCAAGCCUUGUGCAGCCAUGCCGCGUGUAUGAAGAGGGCCUUCGGGUUGUAAAGUACUUUCAGCGGGGAGGCGUUACCCGCAGAAGAAGCACCGGCUAACUCCGUGCCAGCAGCCGCGGUAAUAC